ACUUAAAUAGUUUAUUGAAAAAUUUUAAAGUGUGGAUUUGAAGAUGUUAAUUUUAACUUUAAGUA
rnacentral:tRNA from 1 species